rnacentral:rRNA from 1 species
GAUGAACGCUGGCGGCGUGCCUAAUACAUGCAAGUCGAGCGAAUGGAUUAAGAGCUUGCUCUUAUGAAGUUAGCGGCGGACGGGUGAGUAACACGUGGGUAACCUGCCCAUAAGACUGGGAUAACUCCGGGAAACCGGGGCUAAUACCGGAUAACAUUUUGAACCGCAUGGUUCGAAAUUGAAAGGCGGCUUCGGCUGUCACUUAUGGAUGGACCCGCGUCGCAUUAGCUAGUUGGUGAGGUGACGGCUCACCAAGGCAACGAUGCGUAGCCGACCUGAGAGGGUGAUAGGCCACACUGGGACUGAGACACGGCCCAGACUCCUACGGGAGGCAGCAGUAGGGAAUCUUCCGCCAUGGACGAAAGUCUGACGGAGCAACGCCGCGUGAGUGAUGAAGGCUUUCGGGUCGUAAAACUCUGUUGUUAGGGAAGAACAAGUGCUAGUUGAAUAAGCUGGCACCUUGACGGUACCUAACCAGAAGGCCACGGCUAACUACGUGCCAGCAGCCGCAGUAA